UGACGUCACUCGGUGUCGGUAAACUCACCUGGUCAGGUCUCCUCAUGUCCCCUUUAUCAAAAGAAUAGAGCGCUUCAGACGAACUUCGGCCGCGGUGACGUCAUCGAGGGCGAGUUGGUUAUUUCCCUCAUUGCGGCACUGGUCACUCGAGGAGUUCCUGAGUCUGUGAGUUCAUGAAGUGUUUCUCCCCAUCAGUCACAGCGGGUGGCAGGUACGGAGCUGAAGGUGUGUCAUUAGACCCCUGCUGACCGCCUCCUGGUCCGGCCCUCCUCACAUUCGUCUUCAUUAAAGAGCCGUUGACUGGGUCUCUCUGAGCAGAUGGUCAUUAAUGUGGCCACCCUAUCCACAGAGACUUUACCUGAGGACAAACGUCACCUCUGAACACCGCCGCACUGAAGAUGGAGAGACUCUGGAGGAACGCACUUCUCUGAAUCACUUCCCAGACCAGUUUAUAAAUGGCUGCCGUGAAGUGGUUGUUGUCUGUGGGCUGACACGAGACUCACGUGAUGGAGAUGCAGGAGAACAACUGUGAAUGUGGCCACAUAUCAUCAGCGGGGUCAGAUUCAGUCAGAGUGAACAUCAAUCACAAUCACAGUCGCCUCCAAUUACGCUCCCCUUGAAAAGCACCAUGGAGGAAAGCAGCUAAUGUGAUCUGGCUCUCUCUGUUGGAUGGCACACACAGCUCUCCUCACGCACAGCUCAGCGUAAGAAGCGCUAGUGAUCCUAAUGAAGACCAGAGGGGGAGACCGCUUCUCAGUGGCUGGAAUUGAAUUGGCAUGCUGUAAAUUGGCUUAAUCCGGGCCAAAGCAUUAUCUGGUUUAGUCACCAAGCCCAGUUUGUGGAUUUUCUCCAGUUUGAGGCCUUAGUUGUGUCCGCUGGGAGCCACCGGUCCGGCCAGCAUGUGAAGGAAUAGACGGACGAUAAAUAAUACGAGUAGAAAUCAUCUGGACUGGUGAUAAAUGAGCUUCUGCUCGUCCAAAAUGAUGUUUUAUUAGCUAAUGGAGUGGCGUAUGGAUUAAAGGUCCGGUCCUGCGGUGCUGCUCGCUUGCAUAUUGAUGAAUUUCUCCGUGUACUUACUCAUAUUGUAGCAUAUGGCUUUAUGAUGGAGUGCUGUGAUCGUUUGUAUGGAACGUUUCCCUUUGUACCAUCGUUCUACAUAUUAAAUGAUUUCCAGCGGUGUUUAAUACGACCCGUGAGAAUAUUCCCUCUCUGAUGAUCCAAACACGGCCGCUGAGAUGAUGUGAAGACGCCCGAGAGCUGGAGUCAGAGUUACUGUACCUGCGCCUUUCAUUAUUAAACGCUGAGAAAUUAAGGUCAUAAAACUGAGGAAUGAAAUAA